UACGGGGGGGGCAAGCGUUGUUCGGAAUUACUGGGCGUAAAGGGCUCGUAGGCGGCCAACUAAGUCAAACGUGAAACCCCUCGGCUUAACCGGGGAACUGCGUCUGAUACUGGAUGGCUUGAGUUUGGGAGAGGGAUGCGGAAUUCCAGGUGUAGCGGUGAAAUGCGUAGAUAUCUGGAGGAACACCGGUGGCGAAGGCGGCAUCCUGGACCAACACUGACGCUGAGGAGCGAAAGCCAGGGGAGCAAACGGG
rnacentral:rRNA from 1 species